AAAAAAGAAUUGAUUAUGUUCAUUGUGUUAUCGGGUUUGAGAGCAGUUUUUCAGUGGACAGUGUGGGGCAAGAGUGGUGGUGUUGCUUUGUUGUGCAAAGAGAAGUCAAUGGUUCAAUUGCUUAGCUUUUCGAAAUUUCACAUUGAUUUGUUUGCUUCAUUGAACUCAUUUCCUGUUUAGAGGUUAACUGGGUAUUAUGGGCAACUGGAUUGUAAUCUUUGAAGGGAGUCUUGGGAGCUGUUACGUAUGUUAAGUCAAAAAUCCUCUUUACCAUGGUGUUGUAUUGGGGAUUUCAAUGAUAUCUUAGCUUUAUCUGAGAAGAAAGACAGGCAUGUUAUCCUUUGUGGCUUCUCCAAGGCUUUUAGGAGGCUUGCCAAGACUGUGGUUUGUUGUAUUUGGGUAUGGAGGGCUAUCCCUUUACAUGGGAAAGGGGUAGAGGGACUGCUAGUUGGGUUGAGGAGUGACUCGAUAAGGCCCUUGUGACAUCCUCUUAGCUUUCUCAUUUCAAGGGUGCGAAGUUAGUUAAUGUGGAUUUUACUUCGUCUGAUCAUUUUCCUAUUUUUCUUUCAUUGCGUCCAGCUACUAUGGUGUGGGGGAAAGCUAAAUUUCGGUUCAAGAAUUUUUUGCUGCGAGAUCCUGCUUGUAGAGAAGUUGUGGAAAGGAGUUGGGGCUAUCCUAAUCAGCGUUCUGUAUUGGAUUAAAUAUCAGAUUAUGGAUGGAUCUCUCUUUUUGUGGGGGGGUGGUUGUUUGAAACAUAUUAGAUCCCAGAUCGCAGGUUGUAAGCAUUGUCUUAAUUUGCUUCACCUAAGACAUGAUUCUUUCUCUAUUUGUCAAUAUGGUACAGUUAAGAAGGAGUUAGAUAGCUUAUUUCAAGAGAUGGAUGUCUACUGGAAGCAACGUCCAAAAGAGUUUUGGUUGCGAGAGGGUGAUACUAAUUCCAAAUUAUUCCAUGCUUAAGCCUCUUAAAAAAGAAGGAAGAAUUCUAUAGUGUGCUUGUGGGAUGAUGAAGGGAAACGUUGAGAUUAAGGGUCGGGUUUCGAGGAGCUGAUGUUGGAUUACUUCAAUUCUCUUUUUAGUUCUUCGGGUUGCGAUGGUGCUCCUAUUUUUAUUGUGUUUCUCAUGUAGUUUCGGAGCAAAAUCUAGCUCUCACAGCAAACUUUUCUCGGGAAGAGAUUAAACAGGAUCUUAAUUCUAUGCAUCCAGACAAAUCAUCUGGCCCAGAUGGCAUGAAUCUGGCCUUUUAUCAACGCUUUUGGAACAUUGUAGGUCUGGGGUGCCAUAGGGUCCCAUACAAAAUUAGGGUAGCGAUUGAGCUUGGAGUCACUUCCCGGUGACUUAAUUAUGGUUCUGAACAUCCUGACUGUCCAGACAGACAUCUGUUGCCGGAACAAUAGACUGUACGGGACUGUCCAAUGUAAGGGUGUUACAACUAAUGAUCGAAUUGAAUGGGAUUAUUUGCAAGGCAUGAUAUUGAAAUUGGGUUUUGAUGUUAGAUGGGUUGAGCUCAUAAUGAUGUGUGUAACUUCUGUGAGAUAUUCUAUUCUUUAGCAGAGUAGAGAAAUUGGCCUAGUUAUUCCAGCUAGAGGAUUGAGGCAGGGAGAUCCUUUAUCUCCAUACUUGUUCAUUAUCUACUCUGAAGGUUUAUCUGCUUUGCUGAGGCAUAGGGAGGGGCCAGGUCUUAUUCAUGGUUGUAGAGUUGCACGAGAGGCCAGGCCUAUUUCCCACUUGUUUUUUGCAGAUGAUAGUUUUCUUUUUUUCAGAGCUACUUCUAGCGAAUGUGAUUCCAUUCAGAAUUGUUUACAACUGUAUGAAAGGGCAUCAAGUCAAGUUAUAAAUUUCCAGAAGUCCUCCAUAGUGUUUAGUGCCAAUACUAACAAUGAUGUUCAGUUUUUAAUUGGACAAAGGCUUCAGAUUUGAGAGAUUGCGGAUUUAGGGUAUUAUCUGGGGUUGCCUAUUGCUGUGGGAAGGAAUAAGAAGGAGGUUUUUGCUUUUAUUAGAGAUAAAGUAUGGCAGCAUAUUCAAAAGUGGAAGCAGAAUUUUUUUUAUCUCAUGCAGGAAAAGAGAUUUAUUCAAGUCAGUGGUUUAAGCUAUUCCUUUUUACACACUGAGUGUGUUUCUGUUGCCUCUAGAUCUGUGUGUUGAGCUUGAAUGUAUGAUGAACUCUUUUUGGUGGGGUUCUGGUGGUAGAGGUCAGGGUGAAAUAAGAUGGAAAAGAUGGGAACUUUUGUGCAGGCAUAAGGUUGUUGGUGGUUUGAGUUUUCACAGGGUUGAUGAGUUUAAUUUAGCUUUACUGGGAAAGCAAGUUUGGGGAUUAUUAAGUAAUCCCAAUUCUUUAGCAACUAGAGUGUAUGGAGCUCGUUAUUUCCCACGGUCUGAUAUUUUGCAAGCAGAGUUAGGAUAUAAUCCAAGUUAUGUGUGGUGCAGUGUAUGGGCUGUUAUUCCAAUUUUGAGAUUUGGUUUAAGAUGGAACGUUGGAUUGGGAGCUUCUAUUUCCAUUUGGCAAGAUCCAUGGCUUCCUUCAGGUAUGAAUCCUUGUGUAAGUUCAGUGGCUCCUGUGGUAUCUCAUUAUCAGUUGGUUUGUCAGUUGAUGACGGAUGAUGGGUUAUCAUGGAAUAUGGAAAUUAUAAGGAACCUUUUUAAUGAUAGAAAUGUUGCUCUAAUUGGUCAAAUUCCUUUAUUGCAAACAAGGAGGGAUGAUGUCAGAUUCAGGAUUCACUACCGUAAGGGAAUUUUCACUAUUAAGAGUGCAUAUAGAUGGCUUAUGGAUGAUUUUAAUGCAAGUUCUCCUGGGGAGUCAUUUGGUUUCUAGAAGAAGAUGUGGCAAUUGAAAAUUCCUUUGAAGAUCAAAAAUUUUAUUGGAGCUUGGGUUCUAAUUGUGUCCCUUUAAAGAGUUUAUUGUUGCAGAGACAUGUGGAUGUGGACAUAUUGUGUUCUAUGUGUGGCCUGGAGAUUGAAGAUUAGAGGCAUGUAUUUGUUAUAGGUUGUUUGGCUCAUGAUUGUUGGCAUAUGAUAUUACCACAAGUUCUUCAGUUGUCCAAUUUGUCUAUUCUCUCUCAAAAUAGAGCUAUAGUAUGGUUAAAGGAAAUAUUUAGAGCUCUAGGUGUGGAGGACCUGAUGGUGUUCUGUGUUACUCUUUGGGCUAUUUGGUUUGCUAGAAAUGAUAAGCUUUGGAAUAGGAGACCAGUUACGGCUUCUCAAAUUCUCUUGAAGGCGUCUUCUUUUUUUCAGCAGUAGAAAGAGGCUCAGUCUAAGUUUGGUUUGUGCCCUGAAGUUUCUGUAGCAAUUUCUCCCUCUGUUGUGCAAUGGAUGCGGCCUCCUGUUGGCAUGUUAAAAUGCAAUGUUGAUGCAGCUGUUUUUGGUGGGGUGGGGAAGAUUGGGACAAGCUGGGUAGUUCGUGAUCAUGAAGGGAAAGUUUUAAAUGAACGCCAGGUCUCUCAUGAUGGUGU
rnacentral:misc_RNA from 1 species